rnacentral:rRNA from 1 species
UACGUAGGGUGCAAGCGUUGUCCGGAAUUAUUGGGCGUAAAGAGCUCGUAGGCGGUUUGUCGCGUCUGCUGUGAAAACUGGAGGCUCAACCUCCAGCCUGCAGUGGGUACGGGCAAACUAGAGUGCGGUAGGGGGAGAUUGGAAUUCCUGGUGUAGCGGUGGAAUGCGCAGAUAUCAGGAGGAACACCGAGUGGCGAAGGCAGAUCUCUGGGCCGUAACUGACGCUGAGGAGCGAAAGCAUGGGGAGCGAACAGG